CCUGUAUUUGCUUUGGUGGAUGGGGGGAGGUGUGUGUGGGGGGGGUCUCAGAUCACAGGGAUCUCCGAGUCAAUGCUGGCGUGUUCUUGGCUUGGGGAGCCUAUUAGGCCGCUGUGUUCCAGCUGCCGGCCCCGCACUUGGCGACAGUGGUUUUCACGCUCCAGGGUGUCAGCUGCUAGUGAUGGUAACAAGGGAAACAGAGCCAACACGAGGACACUAAAAGGGCAAACCAGUUGAUACCCCUGCAGCCGUGCUGAGUUACAGAGAAGCUUGGCCGGCCACAAGUCCUCCACCCUGUCAUACGAGACGGGCGACAGAUGCCAUGGUCUCCAGCAAGUUGCAGAAAAAAGGCUGCCUAAGCAGCUAUACCAUGUGCCAACUUGAGCUUGAGAGAAAUGCCAAAGCUCUAUGCUGAGGCAGACACUACUGCUAUUUGCUGGCUUAAUGUAACAGUAAGC
ensembl:lncRNA